UCAAUCCAUUCUGGCUUGUUAAGUCUCACAUUGAGAAGUCCACUGCUACUCUGAUAAGGUUUCUCUUAUAGGCAACUAGACAUCAGAUUUUUUCCUACAUGUUGACUUUAUACAGUUUGAUGACUAUAUUUCUUGGUGAACUAUGUCUUGCAAUGCACUUUUCUGGUAUUUGCUGGGCCUCUUAUAUUUGAAUGUGUAAAUCUUUUGCAAGACUAGGGAAAUUUUAACGUAGUAUUUCCUUAAAUAGGUUUUCCAGUCUUGUUACUUUUUCUUCUCUUUUGGAAAUACCAAGGAUUCAUAAGUGUAAUCAUUACUAUGUAGUACAUAUUGAAGUCUUUGUUCAUUUUUUUCUUUUUUUCUGACUCUAUUAAUUUAAAAGAUUUGUUUCAAGCAGUGAGAUUCUCUGCUUUGCUUGCUCUAGUCUCUUGUUGAAGCUUUCAACUGUCUUGUUUAAUUCCUUCAAUAAUUUUUUAUUUUCUAGCAGUUCUGGCUUUUUUAGAAAUAAUGAUAUCCAUCUCGUUGGUACACUUGUCAUUCAUAUUCAAAAUUAAUUUGUUGAUUCAUCAGUACUGGUUUUCAGAUUUGUCUUUUUAUUUCCAUGAGAUUCUUUACAAUCAAUAAUUUAAAUUGGUAUUUUGAUUAUUUCUUUUUGGUUAGGAUCUAUUACCGGAGAAUUACUGUUUCUUUGGGGAUGCCAUAACCCUUUGCUAUUAAAUACUUCAGCAUUAUUACACUGAUUUCUUUACAUAUGAGAAAACAGUUGCUUCUUCUUGCUUUUGAAUUUACUUUCUUUGGGGGGAAAUUUUUUUUUUUCUCUUCAGGAUGUGACUAUGAUGUUAUGUAGGGCUGUUUCUCUUUGCUUCUGGGUAUGUUCAGUAGCAAAGACUCUGUACAAUAUUAGUUAAAAAUAGCUUUAAUGUGGUGGCUUUAUAAAAUGGCAGUUGUAGUAGCUGUGUACUGGGUGGAUGAAGAAGCCACUUCAGAAUACUGAGAAGCCAGGGUGGCAUGGGUGAUGGUGGAUGCAGAGGUCACAUGAAGCCUGUCUCCUUCCUGAGUGCUGUGCAUCUUUUUCAGCAGAUUUGCCUUGUGUUUUGGAGGCUGACCUGGUCAGUAGGUGGUACAUGCCAGUUAGAGCAGGCUGCCAUGAUAGCAGUAGGGUUUAUAUGUGAUCUUUGUUAACAUCUGUAGAAGCGCUUUCAGUGUCCCAGGUGGUGGGUUGGGCCCUGGAGUGCUCAAGGGCUUGAGUCACCUUCUCUCUAGGAUGGGGUGGUAAAGCUGAGUAAAGCCAGAUUGGGGAACCCUGCACUCAGGCCCCCCAUGGCAGAUGUACACACCAGCCCUGAGAGGGGUGGUGGGGGAGUCCUCAGGCCCCUGGUGAAAUCUGCUGAGGUCUCCGCUUGGGGAGUGAAGGGCGGUACCAGCACCAUGGCUUUGACAGGCAGGAAUGAGAUCUGCUACCUUUACUCGCCUUUGUCUGACAUUCAGAAUAUUCGGUUAGGUUAGACAAUGCUGUUUCCUUUUAGGCUGCAAUGCUGUUUACUUAUAGGAUGAAACUGUAUCAGACUUUGUAGUGGCUGUGCAUGUUGAUAUCCUGGCCAGUAGGCAGUGCGUGCAGGUGAGAGCCAGCUGCAGUGGUGGUGUUACAGUUAAGGCUUGACCUUUGUUAACUUGGUGAUGUACUUGGGUUUCCCAGGCAAUGGGUUGGGCCACGGAAUUCUCAGCGGUCUCAGUCCUGUACUUUGCUUCCAAGGUGGGAAAUAGGGGGGAAAGCUGGUGGUGUUGGGUAGAGGAGAAAGCAGGGUGGGGCUGAGAUGGGCAGGUCUAUACCUGGUCCUCCUAAUGGCCAGUACAAGUGCCAGCCCUGAUGGGGGUUGGAGGACAGUUCUCAGGCCACUGGAGCAAUAGUUCAGGGAGAAGUGGAGCAACUCUUUCUGUUCCAACUAACCAGCAUGGGGAAAGUGGGGUGGCUCGGGUUCCAUAGCCUAGCAGGUGGUAGUGAGACCUGCCUUGCUCUCAUGCUCUCAACCUAGCGGGAUACCAUCCUACGGCCUGCCACUGGCAUCGAGCUGAGGCAGCCAGCCAAAUCACAAGCAGUUUGUCUUUGGACUGCAAUAUAACCCCAGGCCAUAAAACUGUGGCUCCCAGGUGAAACCCCUCCCAGCCCAAUUCCAGGAUGGGGAGGUUCCCGAAUCCCAUAACCUUGGCUGGAGCCAAUGCCACACUUGCUUAUCAGUUCUGGCCUCGUUCCUGGGACUGUGCAUAGUCUGCUAAAAGCAGAUGAGAAUUUCACAAAAUGCCACGUUAUCACAAAUUUCUGAAGAGGCUGACAGGUUAUUAAUCAGGAUAAACCACAUUGAAUAAAGUAUUCCUGUUAAGAACUCUCUGUAUCCCUUCCUUUUGAACACUGCUCCAGCCUCUUGGGACUCCAGGACAUCUUCUACAUAAUCUCAUGUCUUUUAGACACGUCAGCUCACUACGAAAGAAUUACUAAGUGAAACUGACCACGUUUCUUGUUCCCUUCCUCCCCCUCCUUCAUUUUAAAAUUGUGAAUAUAUGGUGAUGAAGACCACAAUGAA
rnacentral:lncRNA from 1 species